UACAGAGGUCUCAAGCGUUGUUCGGAUUCAUUGGGCGUAAAGGGUGCGUAGGCGGCGCGGUAAGUCGGAUGUGAAAUCUCGGAGCUUAACUCCGAAACUGCAUUCGAUACUGCCGUGCUUGAGGACUGGAGAGGAGACUGGAAUUUACGGUGUAGCGGUGAAAUGCGUAGAUAAUCGUAAGGAAGACCAGUGGCGAAGGCGGGUCUCUGGACAGUUCCUGACGCUGAGGCACGAAGGCCAGGGGAGCAAACGGG
rnacentral:rRNA from 1 species